UUUAAUGAGAGUUUGAUCCUGGCUCAGGACGAACGCUGGCGGCGGCGGAAGAGAUGCAA
rnacentral:rRNA from 1 species